UAAAUUGCCCGAAUCCUGACACAGGGAGGUAGUGACAAGAAAUAACAAUACAGGGCUCUUCGAGUCUUGUAAUUGGAAUGAGUACAAUUUACAUCUCUUCACGAGGAUCAAUUGGAGGGCAAGUCUGGUGCCAGCAGCCGCGGUAAUUCCAGCUCCAAUAGCGUAUAUUAAAGUUGUUGCAGUUAAAACGCUCGUAGUCGGAUUUCGGGGCGGGCCCGCCGGUCUGCCGAUGGGUACGCACUGGCGGGCGCGUCCUUCCUCCCGGAGACGGCCGCUACUCUUAACUGAGCGGUGGUCGGAGACGGGAUGUUUACUUUGAAAAAAUCAGAGUGUUUCAAGCAGGCAGUCGCUCUUGCAUGGAUUAGCAUGGGAUAAUGAAAUAGGACUCUGGUGCUAUUUUGUUG
rnacentral:rRNA from 1 species